UACGGUCAUAUCACGUUGCAACACCAGUUCUCGUACGAACACCGAAGUUAAGCAAUGUCGAACCUGGUCAGUAGAUAGAUGGGUGAUCGCUUGAGAAUACCAGGUGCUGUAAG
rnacentral:rRNA from 1 species